rnacentral:tRNA from 1 species
GAGGUACUAGUUUAUUAAGAAUACUUGAUUUGCACUCAAGAGGAUGAUGAUUAUUUCAGUACUUCA